GACGAACGCUGGCGGCGCGCUUAACACAUGCAAGUCGAACGGAAAGGCCUGCUUUCCCUUGUGGAUUGCGGGUACUCGAGUGGCGAACGGGUGAGUAACACGUGAGUGAUCUGCCCCCAACUUGGGUAUAAGCCUGGGAAACUGGGUCUAAUUCCCGAUAGGACUGCAGGGUGGUGCCUGUGGUGGAAAACGAUUUUCUAGUGGUUGGGGAUGAGCUCGCGGCCUAUCAGCUUGUUGGUGGGGUAAUGGCCUACCAAGGCGGCGACGGGUAGCCGGCCUGGGAGGGUGGACGGCCACAUUGGGACUGCGAUACGGCCCAGACUCCUACGGGAGGCAGCAGUGGGGAAUAUUGCACAAUGGGCGGAAGCCUGAUGCAGCGACGCCGCGUGGGGGAUGACGGCCUUCGGGUUGUAAACUCCUUUCGACCGCGAGGAAGCCACCUGGUUGGAAGGGUGGUGACGGUAGUGGUAGAAGAAGCACCGGCUAACUACGU
rnacentral:rRNA from 1 species